rnacentral:ncRNA from 1 species
GCAGUCUUCUGGGGCAGGGUGAGGUCCGGCGAACGUCGGGCCGAUUCCCGAUCGGCGGUGACAGCCCGUGAGGGCCUGGAGCGCCAGGCCCGUGGCCCGGUGGAAUUCCGGGGUCGACGGUACAGUCCGUAUGAGAUGAAGACGGC